rnacentral:rRNA from 1 species
AAAGAAACCAACAGGGAUUGCCCUAGUAACGGCGAGUGAAGCGGCAACAGCUCAAAUUUGAAAUCUGGCUCUUUUAGAGUCCGAGUUGUAAUUUGCAGAGGGCGCUUUGGCUUUGGCAGCGGUCCAAGUUCCUUGGAACAGGACGUCACAGAGGGUGAGAAUCCCGUACGUGGUCGCUGGCUAUUGCCGUGUAAAGCCCCUUCGACGAGUCGAGUUGUUUGGGAAUGCAGCUCUAAAUGGGAGGUACAUUUCUUCUAAAGCUAAAUAUUGGCCAGAGACCGAUAGCGCACAAGUAGAGUGAUCGAAAGAUGAAAAGCACUUUGGAAAGAGAGUCAAACAGCACGUGAAAUUGUUAAAAGGGAAGCGCUUGCAGCCAGACUUGCUUGCAGUUGCUCAUCCGGGCUUUUGCCCGGUGCACUCUUCUGUAGGCAGGCCAGCAUCAGUUUGGGCGGUAGGAUAAAGGUCUCUGUCACGUACCUCCUUUCGGGGAGGCCUUAUAGGGGAGACGACAUACUACCAGCCUGGACUGAGGUCCGCGCAUCUGCUAGGAUGCUGGCGUAAUGGCUGUAAGCGGCCCGUCUUGAAACACGGACCAAGGAGUCUAACAUCUAUGCGAGUGUUUGGGUGUCAAGCCCGAGCGCGUAAUGAAAGUGAACGGAGGUGGGAACCCGCAAGGGUGCACCAUCGACCGAUCCUGAUGUCUUCGGAAGGAUUUGAGUAAGAGCAUGGCUGUUGGGACCCGAAAGAUGGUGAACUAUGCUUGAAUAGGGUGAAGCCAGAGGAAACUCUGGUGGAGGCUCGCAGCGGUUCUGACGUGCAAAUCGAUCGUCAAAUUUGGGCAUAGGGGCGAAAGACUAAUCGAACUAUCUAGUAGCUGGUUCCUGCCGAAGU